GGUGUGUCAGCCAGCGUGUGAACGCGAUAUUCUCCGGCGAUACAACACCACGUCCGGCAGCCGUCAGUCCGGGGCACGGUUCAAACUGCACAUCUUCAGUGGUCUGCAGAAGUCCGGCACUUCCGGCCAGAAACAGCUGAAUACCUUCAUUUGUGGCGCGGCGAUAAAACGGUGUGACUGCGCCGCUGGCCAGUCGUUUAAUCUCAGCGAUCUGUGCCGGUUCACCAGAAAAAUACAUACGAUUCGAGCACCAGUUUGGCAUGGGAAUUCUCCUCUCACAUGCGGCCUCCAUCAGGCCGUGCCGCACCUGUAACCGGGCGACCGCAUACGAAUGCAGGUGCGGCCCCGAAGCCGCAGCGCGUGGAGGAGGAACGACGAAACGUGACCGGGUGAGGAGGCCGGCGACAGCGACACACUUGCAUCGGAUGCAGCCCGGUUAACGUGCCGGCACGGCCUGGGUAACCAGGUAUUUU
rnacentral:rRNA from 1 species